GGCGGGGUCGCAUAGCCUGGUUGAGUGCACCGGCCUUGAAAUCCGGAGACCGUGAUGAGCGGUCCGUGGGUUCGAAUCCCACCCCCGCCG
rnacentral:tRNA from 1 species